UACGUAGGUGGCGAGCGUUGUCCGGAUUACUGGGCGUAAAGAGCGCGCAGGCGGUCGUCCAAGUCGCGUGUGAAAGCCCCCGGCUCAACUGGGGAGGGUCACGCGAUACUGAUCGACUCGAAGGCAGGAGAGGGAAGCGGAAUUCCCGGUGUAGUGGUGAAAUGCGUAGAUAUCGGGAGGAACACCAGUGGCGAAGGCGGCUUCCUGGCCUGUUCUUGACGCUGAGGCGCGAAAGCUAGGGUAGCAAACGGG
rnacentral:rRNA from 1 species